ensembl:snoRNA SNORA71 Small nucleolar RNA SNORA71
ACCUGCAUCGAAAGUGGCCGCGGCCUCCCCGUGGCCCGGGCAUCGAUAGUGCAGGGAGAGCAAAGCGGCGGCUCCCCCGUGUCUGCGGGGCCGCGUCCCCGCGGGCCCUGUUGCUGCCUGACA